rnacentral:lncRNA from 1 species
UGUUUUGACAACAUUUAGAAUUCUGUUACAGAAGAACAACCUCAAGUGCUCUGAGGUAUAUUUUGUAUAACUUAAAACUGAAGUUAAUUAUGCAGAGAGUACUAGCUUUGAUCUCUUAAUCUCACAGAGGUUCCAGUAUGAAAGGUCAAAUUUGCAUACUGAAUAUUUGCUGAAUAAAGCUGUUCUUUGAAUGGAUAAAAUAAAAAUAUUAAAUGAACACAGGAAAUUUUUACUUUUCCUUAUUAAGUGACAAGCAAAAGAAGCAUCUAUGAGAGGAAAUUCUUUUUCAUAUCAACCACAAGUUCUGUUUGCAGACUUGAAUAUAUUUUUCUGACUGGAGUUUUUAAGGGGUUCUUCUGAAGUGCUUUACGAUAUUGAACAGAAAUAUUUGCAUGUGCUUUGCUAUUAUUGUUGUGGUUAUCUAGAAUGCUUGACAGGAGUUUUAUGUGUGAACAGCAGAUCAAGCAAUUAUAGAAUGUAAUUCUAAAAAGUGUUUGCUCAAGGUAUGCACCCCCUUGAAAUGUUUUAUGGAGUAGAUCCCCAUCCUGUCCGUGGUAAGAAAUAUGAAGAUGUCCUUUUUCUAGGCUUGCAACAAGUGACACUGUGACAUGUCAGUGAGUGAAGCACUUGGCAUACUGUGUUUAUGCGUCUCAGGUCUCCUGGCACUCCAUCACAUCUUCUUCAAGCAAACUAU